UGUCGCGGUGCGUGAGGCCGCUCACCGGCGUGCCGUUCACCUCCAGCAGCACGUCGCCCGGCGCCGGCGCCUUGCCCGAGAGCAGCGCGGGGCCCGGCGCGCCCUCGCCGCCGAGCGCCAGGCGCCCCGCCAGGUUCACCUCAGUUUGCACAAGAGAGCACAUCAGAAAUACCAGGUUCGAACACCGCAAGUUUUGCAGUGGAAAACAGCAGCAAGCAGCCAAUGUCUUUGUUGUACAGACACCAUUAUGAAACCUGCCUAUAGCAAAUACCAGUAUCUGCUACUAGAUGUUUUCCAGCCCUUACAGAGUCCUCUACCCUUACAGGCCUGGUCCUGUACGACUUACAUAGUAGCUUUUACCAAAAGAACAAAAAUGCUUGCAAAGAAGUAAGAACAACUCCAAUCUUACCGUGAAGCUGUGCUGGCUGGGGUAAAUAACGUAAUCUACACUCGUCUGGAGACGCCAACCCGGCACUACCUGUUCGCAGCGUUCCCAGUGCCCCGAGGUGCGAUGCCUCCAGCGCUGAUGGAGUCACACCCCGCACAGCUCCGGCUCGCUGUGCUCUCUGCUAUCCGAGGCACGCUGGGCUGCCUGCCAGCAGAGGCGGAAAAAACUGCCAGAGACAGGUUUUCCUUCACACUUGCAGGAUGAAAGCGAGGAGGCCGGGAGCUGUGUGGCGCUGGGGGUCUGUCACGUUACUUAAAGCAGACCCCCGGUGUUUUCCAUAGGAACUGUGCCACAGAAAUGAUCCAUAAGGUAUCAGCCUCUGAGAGCGGCCUGUGCCAGAUGAACGCACGCAGUCACAUGUGUACAGCACGGAAACUUCAAGGACGACAAAAAAACUAAAAAAACUGCUAAAACUGCUAAAAAAACUCAUUAGCCACAUAUACACAAAAGUCUCUGGCCUCAUCCACUUCUGUCCCUUGCAGGAAAUUAAACCAACCCAGGCAUUUUCAAAACUAAAAACACGAUAGAGAGGUGCAGAGCAGAUUGGUCCAUCUGGUAUUUCCAGGGUUUGUGUCAGUUUCUGUUAUCUUUGAAGGAACCUGCCAUGGAAGGGCUUCAGGGAACGAGUUCCUAGCAGAAACUAAUACCUCUGCGAAAUCCAAAAUCAUUCAGUGAGUCUAAAUUAUUAUUAACCAAAAGCUUUAUGUGCCUCAUAGGUGCCAGUAAAGACAGCUUCAAGAAUCUUUAUUAAGAUCGACAGCCUCAACAGCCCCAUUUCCACGAUGGCCCUCUAUUUUAUGCUUCGUGCAUGUGACAUUCGCUUCCUGAAUUUGUUUGUUACAGAAGUAGAGCUAAACUUCGAAAUGUGAACAAACUGCUUGGGAACUGACAAUUUUAAUUCUGAUUUAUGCCACGCUGACAGCAAGUAUGUUCAUUCUGCAUUCCUCCUUCCUCUCUGGCUACUCCCCGCCGUUCACAAACAGAUAAAGUAUCUGCGCCACCUCCCAGCGACCAGGGAACACGUCCUGCACCGCCACGGCCCUGGUCUGUGCACGUGUGAAGAACUACGUGUUUGCUGAGCGCUCGUGUUUGAAAUCUCCGUGAGCUAAAGAGGGCCGUCAAAGAAACGUCGGUGCUGCAGCAUCCCCAUCACAUCCUCCUCACGCAUCGCGCGGGGCAGCGGCCACCUCUCUCCUCCUGGCAUUCAGCACGUACAGAUCUCACGACAACAAGCUGCGGAGCCGCUGCAGGCCAGAACGGAGGGGAGAAACCGGUUCAGGACAGUGCAAAGUGCGCGGUAGGUGGGGAAGCAAAGUUUAUCACACUGCCAGAGUUCAAAGGCAAUCAGAACAGCAGAAACGCGCCAGGCUGCUGUGUGGCUGCAGCGUGGAGGCACCUUCGCAGGGAGGACGGGAAGGGGAACUGUGGUGUUGCACCCGGACUGCCACGACGCCGCUCCCCUAGUGCCCAACACCUGCAGUGCAGCUGUACGUGCUACACGCAGCUCACGGGUCCUGUGCUUGAGGGGUCCAGACGGAGGGGAAUGCUCACGCAACACACAUACACAAGGCAAGAACGGCUGCGUGCUCAGCAAGGACAAAAUGAAAACAAGUUUCCCCAGUAAGAGCAAUGUGUAGAAAUGUGUUAUUCUCUAACCUCCCAGGGACGGGGUUCCCAGGAGCUCGGACUGUCCCGCAGCAACACUAUCUGACCGUGAUGCUGUCAAAACUGCUGUGAGAACCAGCAGCGCUGGUUGGCUCCACUGCACCAGCUGAAACCAAAACUGCUCAAAGGCAGCACUGUCAGAGAGGGGCAGCAGGCAGAACGGUCCUCCCUAACAGGAGUGCUCAGCUCAGAGGCAGGGCAGCAAGCUACCCAACACGCGAGGUGUCCUAAGGAAGCCUAAACAAAUCAUUGUUGGAUAAGGGUGGUUCAAAGCCAGACACUUGCUAGUCUGUAGACAGACACAUCCAGGGUUGCCUAUUCGAAAACUGUGACCUAGGAUACAGUGAUCUGAAAGCAAACUUUGAAACACAUCAUAAAUGAGCUUGUACUGGAGCAGGAGCUGCCAGCAAGCAGAUCUUACCAGGGGAUUUCAUCAAGCUCCAGAAAAGCUUAGAGAAUAAACCCAAGACUUAAUAGAGAUCUAUGUCAACUUGGGUUGACUAAGCCUCGGUGUCUGGAAUCCUCACCUGGGAAUGGAAAAUGCAUCAGCCCCAACAGGCUGUACAUCAGCAACAAGAAAUGCUUCACAGAUGCAAAACUGCUCCAUAAAUCUGUGUAUAUUUAGUGCACACCUCAACACUGCCUGCAAACACCAGCAAGGAAGGAUUCAUGCAGCAUUGUGUCCUUCUCGCCUCUCUCUGCCUCCCCUCUGCAAAUAAAAAGAAGACACCCUUAAGCAUUGUAAAUAUUAAUUAGUGAUCAUUACAUACAAUAGGCGUUCGGAUGCCUCUCAUAAAUAAUCAUGUAAAGUUUUCAAACAACAGCAGCAUUAGUCUGGGAAUUUACUAUGUUUUGGCUGAGGCUUUACAGUAAAUUAAGUCAGAUCCUCCAUAUUCCUCAACCUCUCAACUGCACAUUCAACAAUAUUUCUUUUCUGAAACACCACAAAUUCCUUUAAAGUAAUGCUUAUGAAAUGUAAGAAACCUCCAUGAUAGGGGCUGUGUACAGGCAAAUGACCGUUACAGGGAACAUGGAAAAAAACCCAGUAACUGGCAGGGCAGGGUUGCUUGGUUUGCUUGACACAGGCAUCUCCUACAGCUAAAACACUCGGACAACCGAGGAGUCUGCUCCUUGUACCUGCUUUGUGCAACGGGAGCGGUGUUCAGCCGGCUGCAGUCUGGCACAGACCUGGCGAGGGGGAACAACAAGCGAGGCAGGAACCACUGGAAGAGGCGAAACACUUUCUGUCAACAGCCGUAGCGCAGACAUGGACAGAGCGCUCAGCAAUACGCUCACAAGCACUUUGCUCCUUCCUAUGCAGCUCUCCCUGAAGAGUCAAAACUUCAAAAACAGAAAAAAGAGGUAACUGCAGAGAUUGCUUCACAUACGCCUGCUAGAAGAGCCGUCUGCUGCUGCUGCAGCUUUCUCUAUAACAGAGUUUAAAAGAUGAACGAAGAAGACUUGUCAAAGUGAAUAAAGAAGCAGCCUACACAAAUACCCCUCCGCUGCUCAUGCUGGGACGCAGAUUAAAGGUCUUCAGUGCAACGCGAUCAAGCGCUGCAGACGCCAGCGAGUGCAAAGCGAGCAUAAAGGCCCAGGCAAACACCAAACUGCAAAAGUUGUUCAGACUCACGGCUAAGCACGGGUUUGAAGUCUGCACACUGGAUUUAGAGCCAAAAGGAGUAGUGGAGCAUUUAAGUCUGGAUCUAGAGCUUAGUGCUUUGUGCUGGAGCAAACCCGUGGGUCGCGCUGACAGGGCUCCGGGAGAAAAGCAGGACUGACGUGUUGGGAGAGCAAGGCAGCAAGAGCAGCAGGGCCACGGAGGCGUUUGCAGGGAGUCGUAAUGACUGGCCACCCCUAAAAGCCAUCUGGGCAUUCACAGUCCGGGUGCAGGACUAUCGAUUUCAUCCACUGUUUGCAUCACGGAGGGGAGACAUUCCCCUUUGCCACGCUGGGCACGGGAGCGGUUUCGGCAGGGGCCACGAGCCUUCCCUCACGCCGCCUGCUCGUCCGCCCUUCUGCUGCUACGCCAGCAGCUACUGCACCUUCCCGGGGCAUCGGCGCCUUUCGAGGAUGUAUCACGUCUCCUGAAUCCGUUAAUCGGGAAUGGGCGGCACUGUCGAUAGCAGGCAAAACCUCGUUCGUGGAUGUCUCAGGCUGGGAGAACAACUGCCCCCCGGAUACGGGACCGGCACGGCGCCGACCCGCGCGGUCUGCAGCGUGCGCCCUGGGUCCGAAUGUCUCCAAGGCCUGGAGCAGGCUUGGUCUGCUGCGACAGAUCGCUGCUCUUCACGGCGUUCCUGUCCGCUGCACUGCUCAGGCUACGGCAAGCUCAGGAAGCACAUUUUGAGGCAAACAAGCCAGUCUGAGGAGCAAGAAAACUGGUUUGCCUUUUCCUCUGUAGCGAGGCUUGCCUGGCUUGUCUGCUCGCACACUGCAAGGAGACCUUCCAGUCUGCGGCCGUAAUCACCCGCGGGAACGUAAUCACCUCUUGCGAACACUGCCUCUAAAACAAACCAAACUUUGACUAGCAAGUACAUUGUUUAGACCAUUCACCCUAACAGCAAAAGGCUAUUGGUUUUACCGUGUUCUGCCACGUUUGUGAAUUCAGCCAUUUCUCUCUAUUUGAGUGUGUUUCUGAUCAUCCUGAUGGAAAUCCCUCGCUUGAACCUUCUCCCUGGUGUCAGCCUGCCUCACCCGAAGCUGGGUUAGCAGCCGUAAGCGGUUCAGCUCUGCCGGUGGUUUUACAUCUUUAAUGGGAUCUGAAAUAUCCCUAGCAGCCUUGUCAAGGUUUGUAGUCCCAUUCGCGGGGAUUUGGGCUAGCUCACAUGGCCCAAAAGCCGAUCCCAGCCUCUGCUUGAUAAGUGUAAUCCCCAGCUCCCUUCCGAGUACGGUUCCUGGUCCUUCUCCCCGUCGCUCUCUCCUCGCCGGCACGGGGAGCAGGGGACGGGCGUGCAGGGGAGCAGACCAGCGCAGAACAGGGCUCCCGCGUGCCGUUCGUGCACAACAUCAACCUUCCUUAUGCUGCGGAAGGAAAACACGGUUCCUUGAGAGCGGUUGCCCACUCGGAUAAGCCUUUGCCUUCCAUGCUUCAGGCCCUGGCAGUCCUGCAGGUAUUUAAAGGCAGUAUUACAGUCUGCUCUGGUCUUCCAGGAACAAACUGUCUCUAUCACAGUAACGCAGCUGGAUUUGAGCCAGCGGUGGGGGCAAGAUGCCCCUGCCCGGCCCUCUCCCAUCCCACUGCUCCUCUUGAAAGACGAGAGGGUGCCGAAGCUGCAUCAGCUUUUUUAUUUCUAAAAAAUAGGUUGAAGGAGGAGCAAUGAAUAGCUGGGACCAGAAAAACAUUUCUCCCUUCCCCACGUGCCCCUUCUCCAUCGGGAAGGAGAACUAUCGCCUCGCCUGCAAGCCGGCAGCGUGUGCUUGAGCAUCUCCGGCGAGUCGUUCCCUGGCGUCCGGGGGGCACUUGGGACACGGCCACCCUCUGCUGCUGCUGCUGCGAUGGUCCCUGGCCGGCCUGCUCAUCCCGAGGAGCUCUUGCAGCUGUGCUAACCAAGCAGCUUCGGAGCAGACGAGCCUUGCCUCGCUGGGGACUGCUGGCCGUGCUGGAUACAAUGCAAUGACUUGAGACUAAGGUGAUGGAUGAGCUUGUGUGGAGGAAUAAGACAGGACUAAUCAGGCCUGGCUCUGCUCCGACUCCGCCACGGAUGCUCUUAGAGGUGUGAGAUGCCCAAAUACUCCUGUGCACGGGCCACGUAACACCACGAUUCAUACAACAAAUUCACAGAAGUGAUGGUUUCUGGCGUGUUUGAGAGGUUGCCUCAGAUUCACAGGUCCUUUACCGGUGCCACCUUCCUGGAAGAGCGCUGCCAGGACGCCUGCUCUAAGGCGUGCGGUUCGUUUUGUGUUCCACCCUUUCCUCUCCCCGGUAUCAGCUCUCAGCUUCCACAGCUCGGCUCGCCCUCGCUGAAGGACAGCACGGUGCAGUAUACGGUUCUCUGCGUCUCGGCGUCAGGCUUUUAGGUCAGCUUCGCUAAGAGAAAAGAGGAAACGAGUGACCUGUUGGGAGAUGGCCUGCAGAAGACCUUUAGGCACUAUUUGUUACCAAAAUUAAGGCUUGAGAGCUGCUGUGGUCUUUGCUGCUCCGCAGAACGUGCUGCCCUUCAUCCGCAGGUGCACAAACCCAGCCGUAGGGAGGACACGCAGAAGCGUCUCGAGGACUCACCAAAAGCCGCAGGACGCAAAGCGUGUCCCGGUGAGCCGGUGCCGUUUGCCGCAAGACAGCUGCUGGCAUUCCCGGCUGGAGCUGCCGGGCUCCCGGGCGCCGCGCUCGCCGCAGCGCUGCCGUCGCUGCUUCCAGCCGGUCCGCACGGCACGGCAGGGCUCCCCGUCCCGGCCCCUUUCCUGGCGCCGGGAGUUUGUCCCGGUUUCCCUGAGAGCCGGGCGGGAGGCAGGCGAGGUGGGAGCCCCUUCCCGGGGCCUGGAGCGCCCAUCGUGCCGCUGCUCCGCGCUGCCGAGGCGCUACGGCCGCAGCCGGUCCCCUUCUCCAUUUCCCCACAUGCACCAGGAACUCGGUAAUUACCUCUGCAUCUCACAGGGGGCCACGAAGCUUAAUUAAUUUGCAGCUUUCGGUGCUUUGUGCGCUCAGAGCGCCACGUGUUCAGUCCCUUCGUUACGGCGGAGUUAAUAGCGGUAUUCAUCCGAGUUGGGGCCGUCCCCGCAAAGCCCGGCGGUGCCAGGCUCCCGCCCAGGCGGUGAGGAGGGCCCGGCCGCGGGGACGUGUGGCAUCUCCGCCUGCCCGAGGCAGCACCGUGCCCCAGGCUCGGUGCAGCGCUGGGUGACCGCGGAGGCGGCGGGUCCCCGUGUGCGCGGGUGCUCGACCCGCGACGGAGGAGGACGCGCGGGGCCGGGGGACGCGCGCAUGGAGGCAACGCUGAACCAGGGCUUAUCAGAGGCAGCCUUCAUGCUUAGCUGCUUACUAGAGACCUAUCAGGACAAAAAUUAAACAGGCCAUUAAGCAGCACUCCAGUGGAUUAACAUUAGUCUGUCUCCCUUACGCUGCAGGAUUUCAGAAUGCCUUUGAAGUUGGGGUAUUAGAAAAUCACUUUCCAAGCCACAUAACUUUGAGCUUUAGAUGUUUCCUAACAAUUCUGUGGUUGAGGAACAGCUGACUAAUCCUUUAGGAUUUAAUGAGGUUAACUAACAUGCACAGCUUUGUAGGAGAGCUGUAGGUGGUAUUUUGGUGGUGAACAUGAAAAACAAUGACAAUAAGUAAUGUUCUCUAAGAGCCGUUAGGGGAAUGCAGCAUCAUUUCAGAAACUUCUGCAGAAGCUUCUCCUUUUGCAGACAAGGGCUCUGGUCUCCUUAAACAAUGACAAUUAAUAACGAACAGCGCUAUUUGCACGCGACUCUCACGUAGUCGAUAGGAUUACCCAUUUCUGGUCUCCAGGUUCAUUUCUGGUUUGUAAACACCACGUUUGGUCCCUGGCAGUCCAGGAAACCUCCUCCUGCGUGCCAGCAGGGUCACAGCAGCAUUUUGCUAGCGGCCGGUGGCUUUCAGCGUUGGGGACAGGCGCAGAGCGUGUCUAGCCGGGCCCUGCCGAGCCCGACCUGCUGCCUGUCACCCUCCGGCCCCGGGGCCGUCCAACCGCAGCACGUGGACGGCGAGCCGGAGCAGCCGGCGAUUCAUCUGCUCAUUGCAGAGUGCUGCAAAGUCCCUGCACUGCAUGUGCCUGCAGACUGAGCGAUGAACUUAAUUUGAUAUUUACAGUAGAAGUCAAAGUUGCACAUAACAAGUUGACACACAAAUUCAUUAGGAUGCAAUUACAGUGAUCAGAACUUAGGCUACCCAAUUAUUUUUAGCAAGAACAUGCAAUUACCUGCAGGUUCGCGUCAAACGCCGCCUGGUGCCACGAAUCAGGUUCAGAGGACUGGCUUGCCGAGGAGAACCCGGUGCUGUUUUUCUCCUGGCUGGGAGAUGGCAUGCCAGCGCGGAGCAGCAGCAGCCCAGGGAGCAAAAUACUCCAGGACUGACCGGUGCAUAAAGCAGGACGGCGUGGGCGGGAGCGUGACCAGGGCUUGGAGGACGCGGUGCAGAGCGCUGUGCGCCCCUGACCCCCGGGGAGAGCGGCCCAGGCCUCGGUCCCCGUGCCGCGUGGGGGACAGCAGUCCUGUGUCCCAGCUGUUUAGCAAGAAGGCUUCUGCACUGCAACUGAUCUUCCUACGUCUUCUUUGCAAAUGGACUUUUAAUGGACUGCCUUCCAAAUAAUAAAUAAUGAGCCUUUACACCACAA